rnacentral:rRNA from 1 species
UUUUUGGAGAGUUUGAUCCUGGCUCAGGACGAACGCUGGCGGCGUGCUUAACACAUGCAAGUCGAACGGG